rnacentral:tmRNA from 1 species
GGGCUUGUACUGGUUUCGACGGGGGUUUUGAAGUUUGGGAAGCCAUCCGCGGACUCCGGGACCGCGCAAUAACCUGGAAAUUAAAAUUAAACGCAAACAAUAAUAGAGUAGCGUUAGCAGCUGCUUAAAGCUGCUUGUCUGACCCGCGGCACCUGCACCGCAGGAACCAGACAUCGACCAUGCAGGAAACGACAUAUGCAAAGCUUUGCGUAUAUGGGCGUAUCAUGAAGCUACUGAAGCCUGUAUCCCGUCAUCAGGAGACAGGCGGAGGGAAUGUUAAUAUGAUGACUGUGAUGGGAGAUGCCUGAAUGAAUAGGCUUUCGGACGCGGGUUCGAUUCCCGCCAGGUCCA